rnacentral:rRNA from 1 species
GGGGAAUUUUCCGCAAUGGGCGAAAGCCUGACGGAGCAAUCUCGCGUGAGGGAUGACUGCCUAUGGGUUGUAAACCUCUUUUUUCAGGGAGGAAUUAAUGACGUUACCUGAAGAAUAAGCAUCGGCUAACUCCGUGCCAGCAGCCGCGGUAAUACGGAGGAUGCAAGCGUUAUCCGGAAUCAUUGGGCGUAAAGCGUCCGCAGGUGGCUAGUCAAGUCUGCUGUUAAAGACAGAAGCUCAACUUCUGAUAGGCAGUGGAAACUGGGUAGCUAGAGUAUGGUAGGGGUUGAGGGAAUUCCCAGUGUAGCGGUGAAAUGCGUAGAUAUUGGGAAGAACACCAGUGGCGAAGGCGCUCAACUGGGCCAUAACUGACACUCAGGGACGAAAGCUAGGGUAGCGAAAGGGAUUAGAUACCCCUGUAGUC